rnacentral:misc_RNA from 1 species
GUGGCCAACGAGCGUCGUCGCCGCAGGUCACCACCCCAUCUCUGGCGUCCUCUCCGGCGACCCCAACCGCGUCGACUUCAUCACCGGUGCUCUUGGCAUCCCUCCUGGCACGCUCACCUCCAAUAGCGACGCGUACGCGGCUCCUCCCGCGUUCCUCGCUGCCCUCUACGUGGCUGCACUGCGGGCCACCACACCCACGACCUACGACGCCGCAGCGCGUCGCGCCGAACUCCUAGCUCCGCACUUCCCAUACCUGAGUGCGGGUCAUGACACUCCCGCCCUGCCUAGGGUCGCGCGGGGGUUCGACAUUCCGCCUCCCGUCUACAACCACCCGUCGGUUCUCACCACUACUCAGCAUCCUCGUGCUCCCGACAUCACUGUCGCCCUCGCCGCUACCCAUUAGCGCGCAGGCUGCCGCCCACACCUGAGCAGGAACGAGCAGUCGUCGAUGCCCUCAAGCGCUAGCUCGUCCGCUCGCUGGUGCCCAGGGCGAUGUCUCCUACUUUGUGCACGCCGUCGAUGAUGAUGCCCCCGACACGUCGAUCAUCGUCAGUCUCCAUGCUCAGGCGACGAGAUUUCCCAGUAUUCGAGCUCUGGUCUCGACGACCACGUCCUCACGCGGUGGUGUCGACGCACGCCUGGUCCCGGAUGGACAGCGUUGUCCUGACCUAGAUCCUUGGCACCCUCACGGUCGAGAUGCAUGACGACGUCCGCGAGGAGGGCGGGACCGCUCGCCAGGCCUGGGUUGCUAUCGAGGCCAAGUU